CAGUGCGAUAGGGGGACUCCGAGUGCGAGGGCAUAUAGUCCUCGCUUUUCUGUACCGUAAGGAGGUACGGGAACAAGUGCUGGGCAAGACCGGUGCCAGCCGCCGCGGUAAUACCGGCAGCACGAGUGAUGGCCGCUCUUAUUGGGCCUAAAGCGUCCGUAGCCGGCCAGUCAAGUCCGUUGGGAAAUCGGCGCGCCUAACGCGUCGGCGUCCAGCGGAAACUGACUGGCUUGGGNUCGGAAGACCUGAGGGGUACGUCCGGGGUAGGAGUGAAAUCCUGUAAUCCUGGACGGACCACCGGUGGCGAAAGCGCCUCAGGAAGACGGACCCGACGGUGAGGGACGAAAGCUAGGGUCUCGAACCGGAUUAGAUACCCGGGUAGUCCUAGCUGUAAACGAUGCUCGCUGGGUAGCCGUAAACGAUGCUCGCUAGGUGUGGCGCAGGCUACGAGCCUGCGCUGUGCCGUAGGGAAGCCGUGAAGCGAGCCGCCUGGGAAGUACGUCUGCAAGGAUGAAACUUAAAGGAAUUGGCGGGGGAGCACUACAACCGGAGGAGCCUGCGGUUUAAUUGGACUCAACGCCGGACAUCUCACCAGCACCGACAGUAGUCAUGACGGUCAGGUUGACGACCUUACUCGAGCCACUGAGAGGAGGUGCAUGGCCGCCGUCAGCUCGUACCGUGAGGCGUCCUGUUAAGUCAGG
rnacentral:rRNA from 1 species